GAGUUUGAUCCUGGCUCAGGACGAACGCUGGCGGCGUGCCUAAUGCAUGCAAGUCGCACGCACUCGCUUCGGCGGGUGAGUGGCGCACGGCUGAGUAACACGUGGGAACCCGCCCCCCGGUGGGGGAUAACGCGACGAAAGUCGCGCUAAUCCCGCAUACGUCCGCAGGGGGAGAGCGCUUCGGCGCGCCGGGGGAGGGGCCUGCGGCCCAUCAGGUCGUUGGUGGGGUAACGGCCUACCAAGCCGAUGACGGGUAGCUGGUCUGGGAGGAUGACCAGCCAGACUGGGACUGAGACACGGCCCAGACUCCUACGGGAGGCAGCAGCAAGGAAUUUUCGGCAAUGGGCGCAAGCCUGACCGAGCAACGCCGCGUGCGGGAUGACGGCCUUCGGGUUGUAAACCGCUUUUCGGGGGGACGAUGAUGACGGUACCCCCGGAACAAGCCCCGGCUAACUCUGUGCCAGCAGCCGCGGUAAGACAGAGGGGGCGAGCGUUGUCCGGAGUCACUGGGCGUAAAGCGCGCGCAGGCGGUCGCCAAAGUGUCGUGUGAAAGCCCCCGGCUCAACCGGGGGAGGCCAUGGCAAACUCGGCGACUGGAGCGGCGGAGAGGCCCCUCGAAUUGCCGGUGUAGCGGUGAAAUGCGUAGAGAUCGGCAGGAAGACCAAGGGGGAAGCCAGGGGGCUGGCCGCUGGCUGACGCUGAGGCGCGACAGCGUGGGGAGCGAACCGGAUUAGAUACCCGGGUAGUCCACGCCGUAAACAAUGACCACUCGGCGUGCGGCGACUAUUGACGUCGCGGUGCGCCUUAGCUCACGCACUAAGUGGUCCGCCUGGGAACUACGAGCGCAAGCUUAAAACUCAAGGAAUUGACGGGGGCCCGCACAAGCAGCGGAGCGUGUGGUUUAAUUCGAGGCAACCCGAAGAAC
rnacentral:rRNA from 1 species